UACGUAGGGGGCUAGCGUUGUCCGGAUUUGAUUGGGCGUAAAGAGCGUGUAGGCGGCCAGGUAGGUCUGCUGUGAAACUCGAGGCUCAACCUCGAGACGUCGGCGGAAACCAUCUGGCUAGAGUCCGGAAGAGGAGAGUGGAAUUCCUGGUGUAGCGGUGAAAUGCGCAGAUAUCGAGGAAGAACCACCCGUGGCGAAGGCGGCUCUCUGGGACGGUACUGACGCUGAAGACGCGAAAGCGUGGGGAGCGAACAGG
rnacentral:rRNA from 1 species